ensembl:lncRNA
GUGUUUUCUGAUAAUGAUGAGGUUCAGUUGAGGACAAGGGCACCGUUGACAAGAAACACCGUUUGAUGUUAAAAUUGUGCCAGACCAAAGGGACAGCUGGUAUAUGUGUCACUGAUGCAGAUCUUAAGGGUUAUGAAUCUGAGAGUUAAGGCUCCUCUGUCCAUGGGAUUAUCCUGGCAAGAAUACUGGAUUGAGUUGCCAUGCCUUCCUCCAAGGGAUCUUCUCAACCCAGGGAUCGAACCUGCAUCUCUUGUGGCUCCUGCAUUGCCGGUGGAUUCUUUACUGCUGAGCCGCCUGGGAAGUACCCCCUUUGUCUGCAGCCGUCAGCAAUGAGCCUGGGAUCCUGCUGUAGAGACGACACAGCUGGGCAGGGCCAGGCCCGAGGGAGCAGGUUCGUGACCAGGUGCUGAGCUGUGCUCCAGCGGCUGCAGCCAGGGCGCGCCCAGUCUUAGUUUUGAGGACUCGUGUCUGCGAGCACCCAGGCCUGCUGCUUUCCCCAUACCUGCCCUUUCUUACUUCUCGGCUUUUAGCACUCAUUCCCCAAGACUGGCACAGGACUGCCCUGGUGGUCCAGGGGGUAGGAGUUCGCCUGCCAUUUCACAGGGCAUGGAUUCAAUCCCUGGUCUGGGAAGACCCCACAUGCCGCGGACAGCUAAGCCUGUGAGCCCCAAAUCCCGAGGCCCGGACACCCAGGGCCCACGCCCCAAAAUGAGAGGAGCCCCCGUGCUAAGGAGCCCGCACAUUGCUUGAUGCAACUAGAGAAAACCAUCCAUAGCAACUAAGACCCAGCAUGGCCCAAAAUAAAGAAAUACAACUAAAAAAAUAAAGACCGGCAUAGUCCAGCACAACACGGCCCAUCUCGGAUGUGCAAGGUAUCAUUUCUUCCUUAACCCUGAGUGUGAAUACG